rnacentral:rRNA from 1 species
UACGUAGGUGGCAAGCGUUGUCCGGAUUUACUGGGUGUAAAGGGCGUGUAGCCGGGAAGGCAAGUCAGAUGUGAAAUCCGGAGGCUCAACCUCCGAAUUGCAUUUGAAACUGUUUUUCUUGAGUACUGGAGAGGCAGACGGAAUUCCCUGUGUAGCGGUGAAAUGCGUAGAUAUAAGGAGGAACACCAGUGGCGAAGGCGGUCUGCUGGACAGCAACUGACGGUGAGGCGCGAAAGCGUGGGGAGCAAACAGG